UGAGGAACAUGACCUUCGGCGGGGGAUAGCCGGCCCAACGGCCGGGUAAUACCGCGUACGACCAUUUGGGGACAUCCCCGAGUGGUGAAAGCAGCAAUGCGCCGAUGGAGUGCCUCGCGGCCUAUCAGCUAGUUGGUGAGGUAACGGCUCACCAAGGCGACGACGGGUAGCUGGUCUGAGAGGAUGGCCAGCCACAUUGGGACUGAGACACGGCCCAGACUCCUACGGGAGCAG
rnacentral:rRNA from 1 species